GACGAGCCACACGAACGUUAUUCGGAAUUACUGGGCUUAAAGGGUGCGUAGGCUGCGCGGAAAGUUGGGUGUGAAAUCCCUCGGCUCAACCGAGGAACUGCGCCCAAAACUGCCGUGCUCGAGGAAGAUAGAGGUAAGCGGAACUUACGGUGGAGCGGUGAAAUGCGUUGAUAUCGUAAGGAACACCUGUGGCGAAGGCGGGUCUCUGGACAGUUCCUGACACUGAGGCACGAAGGCCAGGGGAGCAAACGGG
rnacentral:rRNA from 1 species